rnacentral:rRNA from 1 species
CGGACGGGUGAGUAAUGUAUGGGGAUCUGCCUGAUGGCGGGGGAUAACUACUGGAAACGGUAGCUAAUACCGCAUAAUGUCUACGGACCAAAGCGGGGGACCUCCGGGCCUCGCGCCAUCAGAUGAACCCAUAUGGGAUUAGCUAGUAGGUAAGGUAACGGCCUACCUAGGCGACGAUCCCUAGCUGGUCUGAGAGGAUGAUCAGCCACACUGGGACUGAGACACGGCCCAG